rnacentral:rRNA from 1 species
CCUACGGGAGGCAGCAGUGGGGAAUAUUGGACAAUGGGCGCAAGCCUGAUCCAGCCAUGCCGCGUGAGUGAUGAAGGCCCUAGGGUUGUAAAGCUCUUUUGUGCGGGAAGAUAAUGACUGUACCGCAAGAAUAAGCCCCGGCUAACUUCGUGCCAGCAGCCGCGGUAAUACGAAGGGGGCUAGCGUUGCUCGGAAUCACUGGGCGUAAAGCGCACGUAGGCGGACUCUUAAGUCGGUGGUGAAAUCCUGGAGCUCAACUCCAGAACUGCCUUCGAUACUGGGAGUCUCGAGUUCGGGAGAGGUGAGUGGAACUGCGAGUGUAGAGGUGAAAUUCGUAGAUAUUCGCAAGAACACCAGUGGCGAAGGCGGCUCACUGGCCCGAUACUGACGCUGAGGUGCGAAAGCGUGGGGAGCAAACAGGAUUAGAUACCCCAGUAGUC